rnacentral:rRNA from 1 species
GCCAGACUCCUACGGGAGGCAGCAGUGGGGAAUAUUGGUCAAUGGACGAGAGUCUGAACCAGCCAAGUAGCGUGAAGGAUGACUGCCCUAUGGGUUGUAAACUUCUUUUAUAAAGGAAUAAAACGAGGCACGUGUGCCUUUUUGCAUGUACUUUAUGAAUAAGGAUCGGCUAACUCCGUGCCAGCAGCCACGGUAAUACGGAGGAUCCGAGCGUUAUCCGGAUUUAUUGGGUUUAAAGGGUGCGUAGGCGGGGUUGUAAAGCCGGGGUUAAAAGCCGGGGGCCAACCCCCGGCGAGCCGUUGAAACUGGCUGUCUUGAGAUGUCGAGAGGUAUGCGGAAUGCGCAGUGUAGCGGUGAAAUGCUUAGAUAUUGCGCAGAACUCCGAUUGCGAAGGCAGCAUACCGGCGGCGAUCUGACGCUGAGGCACGAAAGCGUGGGUAUCGAACAGGAUUAGAUACCCCGGUAC